rnacentral:rRNA from 1 species
UACGUAGGGGGCAAGCGUUGUCCGGAAUCAUUGGGCGUAAAGAGCGUGUAGGCGGCUUGGUAAGUCCGCUGUGAAAGUCCAGGGCUCAACCCUGGAAAGCCGGUGGAAACUGUCAAGCUUGAGUCCGGAAGAGGCGAGUGGAAUUCCUGGUGUAGCGGUGAAAUGCGCAGAUAUCAGGAGGAACACCAAUGGCGAAGGCAGCUCGCUGGGACGGUACUGACGCUGAUGCACGAAAGCUAGGGGAGCAAACAGG